GCGGAUGUUGCUCACAGGGAGCAUCGGUUCUUAGCUAAUAACCACUGUGGGUUCAACCCCCGCCAUCCGCACCA
rnacentral:tRNA from 1 species